rnacentral:rRNA from 1 species
GUGCCAGCAGCCGCGGUAAAACCAGCACCUCAAGUUGUCAGGAGGAUUAUUGGGCCUAAAGCAUCCGUAGCCUGCUCUGUAAGUUUCCGGUUAAAUCCAUUUGCUCAACAAAUGGGCUGCCGGAAAAACUGCAAAGCUAGGGAGUGGGAGAGGUAGACGGUACUCGGUAGGAAGGGGUAAAAUCCUUUGAUCUAUUGAUGACCACCUGUGGCGAAGGCGGUCUACCAGAACACGUUCGACGGUGAGGGAUGAAAGCUGGGGGAGCAAACCGGAUUAGAUACCCGGGUAGUCCCAGCUGUAAACGAUGCAGACUCGGUGAUGCGCUGGCUUGUGGCCAGUGCAGUGCCGCAGGGAAGCCGUUAAGUUUGCCGCCUGGGAAGUACGUACGCAAGUAUGAAACUUAAAGGAAUUGGCGGGGGAGCACCACAAGGGGUGAAGCCUGCGGUUCAAUUGGAGUCAACGCCAGAAAUCUUACCCGGAGAGACAGCAGAAUGAAGGUCAAGCUGAAGACUUUACCAGACAAGCUGAGAGGUGGUGCAUGGCCGUCGCCAGCUCGUGCCGUGAGAUGUCCUGUUAAGUCAGGUAACGAGCGAGAUCCCUGCCUCUAGUUGCCACCAUUACUCUCAGGAGUAGUGGGGCGAAUUAGCGGGACCGCCACAGUUAAUGUGGAGGAAGGAAGGGGCCACGGCAGGUCAGUAUGCCCCGAAACCCUGGGGCCACACGCGGGCUGCAAUGGUAGUGACAAUGAGUUCCGAAACCGAAAGGUGGAGGUAAUCUUCAAACGCUACCACAGUUAUGAUUGAGGGCUGCAACUCGCCCUCAUGAAUAUGGAAUCCCUAGUAACUGCGUGUCAUUAUCGCGCGGUGAAUACGUCCCUGCUC